rnacentral:rRNA from 1 species
UACGGGGGGGGCAAGCGUUGUUCGGAAUUACUGGGCGUAAAGGGCUCGUAGGCUGCCAACUAAGUCGGACGUGAAAUCCCUCGGCUUAACCGGGGAACUGCGUCUGAUACUGGAUGGCUUGAGUUUGGGAGAGGGAUGCGGAAUUCCAGGUGUAGCGGUGAAAUGCGUAGAUAUCGGGAGGAACACCAGUGGCGAAGGCGACUUCCUGGCCUGUUCUUGACGCUGAGGCGCGAAAGCUAGGGGAGCAAACGGG